rnacentral:rRNA from 1 species
CCUACGGGUGGCUGCAGUGAGGAAUAUUGGUCAAUGGCCGGAAGCCUGAACCAGCCAAGCAGCGUGAAGGACGAAGGUGCCACGCAUUGUAAACUUCUUUUGUCCAGGGACAAAACCAGCCUCGUGUGCAUGACCGCAGGUACUUGACGAAAAAGCAUCGGCUAACUCCGUGCCAGCAGCCGCGGUAAUACGGAGGAUGCGAGCGUUAUCCGGAUUUAUUGGGUUUAAAGGGUGCGUAGGCGGACGUUUAAGUCAGUGGUAAAAGCGCGCGGCUCAACCCCGGCGCGCCGUUGAAACUGGCCGCCUUGAGAUCACGAGAGGUAGGCGGAAUUCGUGGUGUAGCGGUGAAAUGCAUAGAUAUUGCGAAGAACCCCGAUUGCGAAGGCAGCAUGCCGGCGGCGGUCUGACGCUGAGGCACGAAAGCGUGGGUAUCGAACAGGAUUAGAUACCCCUGUAGUC